rnacentral:SRP_RNA from 1 species
AAGACAGGUGGCGAGCCGAACCCCCGGCACUUGUAAAAAAUAGCUGUGGCUGCUUCCUUCCGGAUCUGACCAGAUUCACUAUCUUACAAUGCGGGGAGGCCCGCC